CGUUGAUAGGCUGGGUGUGGAAGCGCAGUAAUGCGUUAAGCUAACCAGUACUAAUUGCCCGUAAGGCUUGAUCCU
rnacentral:rRNA from 1 species